GGGUUGUGAGGUUAAGCGACUAAGCGUACACGGUGGAUGCCCUGGCAGUCAGAGGCGAUGAAGGACGUGCUAAUCUGCGAUAAGCGUCGGUAAGGUGAUAUGAACCGUUAUAACCGGCGAUUUCCGAAUGGGGAAACCCAGUGUGUUUCGACACACUAUCAUUAACUGAAUCCAUAGGUUAAUGAGGCGAACCGGGGGAACUGAAACAUCUAAGUACCCCGAGGAAAAGAAAUCAACCGAGAUUCCCCCAGUAGCGGCGAGCGAACGGGGAGGAGCCCAGAGCCUGAAUCAGUGUGUGUGUUAGUGGAAGCGUCUGGAAAGGCGCGCGAUACAGGGUGACAGCCCCGUACACAAAAAUGCACAUGCUGUGAGCUCGAUGAGUAGGGCGGGACACGUGGUAUCCUGUCUGAAUAUGGGGGGA
rnacentral:rRNA from 1 species